AAGACUAUAGACCUGCGGAGUACCUGCGGAGGGAUCAUUACAGAGUUGCAAAACUCCCUAACCCUUGUGAACAUACCUGUACGUCGUUGCUUCGGCGGGUAGCCCCUUUACGGGGCCUCGACCUCCCAGCGAGGUUGCCCGCCGGAGGACCACACAAAACUCUUGAAUUAAUGGCUUCUCUGAGUAUUAAUCAAAUAAGUUAAAACUUUUAACAAUGGAUCUCUAGAUCGGAAGAGCACA
rnacentral:misc_RNA from 1 species